AAUUGAUUAUCUUUACACUAAUCUACAUAAAAUCUUACACGUUAAUUAUUGUAGCGUUGUAAUUUUAGGCUUCCAACGUUUAUUUGUGGUAAACUGACUGGAAGACCUCAAAUUGACUCGUCGUCCCACGAUGCACUAGUUUUCAUUAUUGUGCAUUCAGCUAAACAUCCGGGCUAUGUGUGGUAUUGUGGGGGAAGAUGGCGACACGUAUCGUCCCUGCUGAUUGGAUCAAAAACUGGGAGAAAUCUGGAAAACACGAGUUUGUACAACUAUGUAAGAAUCUUGCAUACAAAACAAAUCAUGACAGCACAAUAAAAGAUAUACAGGCAGCUUUGUAUGAACUCUGCUGGCAUGUCAUACAGGGGAACUUCAAGCUGGACCUUUCUGCUAGCGUCCUCUGUGACAUGAUGGAUCUGCGGGAUGACAUGCCAUCCAUUUUAGCAGAUGUUUUCAGUAUACUAGACAUAGAGACCAGCUCUUUAGAGGAAAAAAACAAACGUGACCAUUACACCCAGCUAGUGGGAGCGUGUCUGUUCUUUGUGCCAGAUGCCAUCCUGAAGGAGAGGCUGGACCCAGAGACCCUGGAGUCCCUGGGACUCAUAAAGCAAGCUCAUCAGUUCAACCAGAAAAUCGUUAAAAUCAAGACCAAACUAUUUUACAAGCAGCAGAAAUUCAACUUGCUGAGGGAAGAGAAUGAGGGCUAUGCCAAGCUGAUCACUGAGCUGGGCCAAGAUCUCUCAGGCAACAUCACUAGCCACAUCGUCCUAGAGAGCAUCAAGUCCCUAAUAGGAUGCUUCAAUCUGGACCCCAACCGCGUUCUGGACAUCAUCCUGGAGGUGUACGAGUGUCGCUCUGACCAAGACGAGUUCUUCCUGCCCCUCAUCAAGUCCUAUAUGUGUGAACCCCUCACCCUCUGCCACAUCCUGGGCUUCAAGUUCAAGUUCAACCAGGAGCCAAAUGAGGAGACUCCCACGUCACUCUACCACAUCGCUGCCGCCCUCUUGCAUCACAACCUUAUAGAGCUGGAGGACAUCUAUGUGCACCUGAUGCCACUGGAUGCCAGCAUUGUAGAGGAGCACAAGAGAGAAAUCACAGAGGCCAAGCAGAUCGCCCGCAAGCUCACCAUGGUGGUGGUGCCCUCCGAGAAGACUGAAGACAAGGAGAGAGAGAAGGAGGAAGAGAAGAAUGACAAGGCUCCUGAUAACCAGAAGCUGGGUCUGUUGGAAGCGCUGCUGAGGAUCGGAGACUGGCACCAUGCCCAAAGCAUUAUGGACCAGAUGCCCUCCUUCUACGCCACCUCUCACAAGGCCAUUGCUCUGGCGCUGUGCCAGCUGCUGCAUCUGACUGUGGAGCCACUCUACCGCAGAGCCGGGGUCCCCAAAGGGGCCAAGGGAUGUUUGUUGAGGCCCCUGAAGAACAAGCGGGCCCCCAGGCCUGCAGAGAGCUUUGAGGACCUGCGCAGGGAUGUGUUCAGCAUGCUCUGCUACCUGGGGCCCCACCUCUCCCAUGACCCCAUCCUUUUUGCCAAGAUCGUACGCCUGGGCAAGGGCUUUAUGAAAGAGUACCAAAGUGAGGGUAGAAAUGACAACGUCAAGGACAAAAUGGACACAUUGCUGAGUUGUUUCCUGAGCAUUGCAGACCAGGUGCUGCUGCCCUCGCUCUCUCUCAUGGAGUGUAACGCCUGCAUGUCAGAGGAGCUGUGGGGCCUCUUCAAACUCUUCCCCUACCAGCACAGGUACCGGCUAUACGGGCAGUGGAAGAAUGAGACCUACACAAGCCACCCACUUCUGGUCAAGGUCAAAGCUCAGACUGUGGACAGAGCCAAAUACAUCAUGAAGCGAUUAACCAAAGAGAAUGUGAAACCAUCUGGGCGCCAAAUAGGCAAGCUGAGCCAUAGCAACCCCACCAUCCUCUUUGACUAUAUCCUGUCUCAGAUCCAGUGGUAUGACAACCUCAUCGGUCCAGUGGUAGACUCCCUUAAAUACCUCACCUCACUCAACUAUGACGUCAUGGCUUAUUGCAUAAUUGAAGCGCUGGCAAAUCCAGAGAAGGAGAAGAUGAAGCAUGAUGACACUACGAUCUCCUCCUGGCUUCAGAGCCUGGCCAGUCUGUGUGGAGCGGUAUUCAGGAAAUACCCAAUUGAGUUAGCUGGCCUCCUCCAGUAUGUGACCAAUACGCUGAAAGCAGGGAAGAGUUUUGACCUGUUGAUUCUGAAAGAGGUGGUGCAGAAGAUGGCCGGGAUCGAGAUCACUGACGAGAUGACAUCAGAGCAGAUGGAAGCUAUGACUGGAGGGGAGCAGCUCAAAGCAGAGGGUGGUUACUUUGGUCAGAUCCGUAACACUAAGAAGUCGUCCCAGCGUCUAAAGGAUGCCCUGUUGGACCAUGAUCUGGCCCUGCCCCUCUGUCUCCUCAUGGCCCAGCAACGCAACGGAGUGGUCUUUCUGGAGGGGGGUGAGAAACACCUCAAACUGGUGGGAAAGCUGUACGACCAGUGUCACGACACCCUGGUGCAGUUUGGUGGCUUCCUGGCCUCCAACCUGAGUACUGAGGACUACAUCAAGCGUGUUCCCUCCAUUGACAUCCUCUGUAACCAGUUCCACACGCCCCACGAUGCUGCCUUCUUCCUCUCACGCCCCAUGUAUGGACAUCAGAUCCUGUCUAAGUAUGAUGAGCUGAAGAAAGCUGAGAAGAGCAACCGGCAGCAGCAGAAGGUCCAUAAGUACGUGGCUGCGUGCGAGCUGGUGAUGUCGCCGGUGCAUGAGGCCGUGGUGUCCCUGCACCCACCCCGUGUCUGGGACGACCUCCGACCCCAGUUCUACGCCACCUUCUGGUCGCUGACCAUGUACGACCUGGCCGUGCCACACAACGCCUACGACCGCGAGGUGAAGAAGCUCCAGCUCCAGGUGCAGGUCAUCGAGGAGAACCCUGAUGUGCCAAUGAACAAGAAGAAGAAGGAGAAGGAGCGCUGCACGGCCCUACAGGAGAAGCUGCAGGAGGAGGAGAAGAAGCAGCUGGAGCACGUCCAGAGGGUCCUGCACCGCCUCAAACUGGAGAAGGACAACUGGCUCCUCGCUAAAUCCACCAAGAAUGAGACCAUCACUAAGUUCCUGCAGCUGUGUCUGUUUCCUCGUUGUAUCUUCUCUGCCAUCGACGCUGUGUACUGCGCCCGCUUUGUGGAGCUGGUGCACCAGCAGAAGACCCCCAACUUCUGCACCCUGCUCUGCUAUGACCGGGUGUUCUCUGACAUCAUCUACACGGUGGCCAGCUGCACGGAGAACGAGUCGCGACGCUACGGCCGCUUCUUGUGCUGCAUGUUGGAGACGGUGACCCGUUGGCACAGUGACCGAGCUGUCUACGAGAAGGAGUGUGGUAACUACCCAGGCUUCCUGACCAUUUUCAGAGCCACAGGCUUUGACGGAGGGAACAAAGCAGACCAGCUGGACUAUGAGAACUUCAGACAUGUAGUGCACAAAUGGCACUACAAGCUGACUAAAGCAUCAGUCCACUGCUUGGAGACGGGGGAAUACACCCACAUCCGGAACAUCCUGAUCGUGCUGACCAAAAUCCUGCCCUGCUACCCCAAAGUGCUGAAUCUGGGCCAGGCACUCGAGUGCCGUGUCCACAAGAUCUGUCUGGAGGAGAAGGAGAAGAGGCCAGACCUCUAUGCCUUGGCCAUGGGCUAUUCUGGCCAGUUGAAAGGCAGGAAGGCGCACAUGGUUCCUGAGAAUGAGUUCCACCACAAGGAGCAGCCGGUGAGGAGCGCCACCCCUGUCAGCCAGCAAAACGGCCCUGGCACCACGGCCAAGCCUGCCACCAACGCCAGCAAGACGGAGGAGGGCGUCAGUGAGGACGCCGAUCGAGCCAAGGAUAAAUCUCAGGGUGCAGCGAAGCCAGCGAACAAAGCCAACAGCACAGCGGCCAAAGUGACCACCAGCAACGGGAAUGGGGCUCCUAACAGCACCAAAACCAUCAAAGAGAGGGAUGACAAAGAAAAGAGUGGGAAGGAGAAAAAAGAGAAAAAGGAGAAGACUCCAGGCAGCACUCUAGAGACGAAGGGGGAGAGCCGGCGGGAGAAGCAGAGAGACGAGAGAGGAGCAGGCGGCAAGGAGGAGCGGGCGCCACGCGAGGGUAAGGAGAAGACGCCCAAGGCAGACCGGGACAAGCAGAAGGUGGAAGAGAAGAGCAACAAAGAGGACAACAAGGCCAAGACCGGCAACGGAGAGCCCAAGGAGCCAUCCAGGGAACGCGACACCGGAGCCAAGGAGUCUAAGAGCAAAGAGAAGGGAGGAGACAGGAGUGCCAUGUCCGGAUCCCUCAAGUCUCCAGUUCCCCGAUUGGAGUCUGCUGAAUCUGAGAGGGAUCACAAAAGGCGAAAACUGGAGACCCACUCUUCACCAUCCCAUUCCUCCUCUGUUAAGGACAAUAGCAACGAACCCAAGGACUCUGCAUCCAAGCACCACAUCAACUACAAUUCGGUCGCGCGGUCCAAGAGCAGAGAGAGAGAGACGGACAAGAAAGAGUCUGAGAAUACCCGGGGCCGUUCCAAAGAGAAGAAGACCGAUGACAAAGACCGAAAGGACAGGAAGAGAGAGCAUAUGACCACUGACCGUGAGAUGAGCCUAGAAUCCAAACGCAGAAAAGAUGAAAAUGGAACCAAUUCCUCCAACAAACACAGCAAGAGCGCCAGUCCUUCCUCAGGCUCCCCAGUCUCGGCUGACAAAGAGAAGACCAAGAGAUCAAAGUCCUCUAGCAAGGAGAAGGGAGAGUCUGCUAAACCUGAGAGAAACUCCUCCGGGGGCAAGAAGGAGUCUAGGCACGACAAAGAAAAAUCUGACAAGAAGGAGAAGAGGGACAGCAGUGGUGGAAAGGAUGAGAAAAAACAAUAUCCUUAAGUUCUGGUUUUUCCUUAAUGGUGGUACUCAUAAGUCUUCUGACAAGCACAGAUAAUGUGUUACAGUUCAGUCAGUGAAGCAGACCUGGAGAAGCCGUGCUUUCCCCUAGACAGACAGACGGAGAGACAGACAGUUACCCUCCCUCCUGUACCAUGCUGUUAGCUAGUGCUCCGUUUUCUCUGCCUUGUGCAGUCUGAGAUGAGGCAUCUGAAAUUUUACUCAUUUCUGCCUGUUUCAGUUGUAACUGUCUGCAAGUGAUGUUAGUUUUAGUGUUUGAAACUUGCAGAUCUCCUUUAUUUUUUAUUUCAGUAACCAACUGAAAGUGAGUUUUUGUUUUUUACUUUUGAAUAUUGGCACAAUGUGCUAUUCAAAUCACGAAAUGUUAUUCUAUUCAGAAAUUAAACUGGUAACUGAAUGAAAUGCUCUCGAAAGCAUCAGGUCAUACAGUCGAUAAUCACAAAUGCCUCAUGAAAAAAAUGUAUCUGUUUCUUGUUGUCAGGCUCCUCCCCUCUUUCUUGUUUUAUUGGCAUUAAUAGACACGCUCCAUAUUUGCAUUUACCUCAUUUAGUUACAUGUCUAUUUUAUUUAUCCUCCUUUUAAUCCAGGCAAGUCUUUAGGCAUGUAUUGAGUGAAAUGAUACAAAUGACCAGUUUGUAUAUUAUGUGUACAAUAAUAAAGGUAACAUGUAAGUCAUAUCUGUUAUGUUUAUUUUUCGAUGUCCCCUUGCUAUGUCCAUUAUGCGAUUGUGUUAUCAGGUUUUUAAAUCAUUUGUAAAAUGACAGUUCCUCCUUGAAGCCAAUAAAAAGAAAUGUACAAAUUUAGAAAGCUUUGUACUCCAAAUACAAAUGUUUCAGAAACAACCUUUUUUGGAGUUUUUAUCUGCUGUACUCGACAAGUGUAUGCUUUUUUUAACUAAUAAAUGAUAGUUUUCCUAGUGA